GACAGAGGUGCCAAGCGUUAGGCGGAAUCACUGGGCUUAAAGCGUGUGUAGGCGGACUUCUCAGUGCCUUGUGAAAGCUCCUGGCUCAACUGGGAGAGGUCAAGGGAAACUGCCGGGCUAGAGUUUGGUAGGGGAUACUGGAAUUCCUGGUGUAGCGGUGAAAUGCGUAGAUAUCAGGAGGAAUACCUAUGGCGAAAGCAGGUAUCUGGGCCACAACUGACGCUGAGCUGCGAAAGCUAGGGGAGCAAACAGG
rnacentral:rRNA from 1 species